GAUGAAGAACGUAGCGAAAUGCGAUAAGUAGUGUGAAUUGCAGAAUUCAGUGAAUCGUCGAAUCUUUGAACGCACAUUGCGCCCGCCAGUAUUCUGGCGGGCAUGCCUGUUCGAGCGUCAUUACAACCCUCAGGCCCCCGGGCCUGGCGUUGGGGAUCGGCGGAAGCCCCCUGUGGGCACACGCCGUCCCUCAAAUACAGUGGCGGUCCCGCCGCAGCUUCCAUUGCGUAGUAGCUAACACCUCGCAACUGGAGAGCGGCGCGGCCAUGCCGUAAAACACCCAACUUCUGAAUGUUGACCUCGAAUCAGGUAGGAAUACCCGCUGAACUUAAGCAUAUCAAUAAGCGGAGGA
rnacentral:misc_RNA from 1 species